CUUCGAACGAGUCUUUCCACUCCCUCUUCUUCCUCCGCCGUCGCCCGCGCGUCGCAAGGGGCCAGCACCGCCCAGCUGCGUGAUUCUCCCAGGAAGUGCUCCGCCGCUGCCGCACUGCUCCACCGUGCAUCGCCAGGGGCCGAUACCUGCUCCGCCGCCUCCGUCGCCAAUUACCUCCUCAGUCGCCGCAACCCAGAUCUGCGCCUUCGCGAUCCCCUCCCGCUGCGAUUGCCUGCCGGCGUCGUCCUGUCCGCUCUUGAACCUCCAUUCACGUCCUCCUAGAGCUUGUGUUCUUCAUCCUCGAGCUGCUGUGCAUCCUCCUCAAGCUCGCAUGCAUCCUCCUCGAUCUCCCGCGCGUGCGCCGCCGCGAUUCCUCCCGGCCGCGAUCCCCUACGGGCGUCGCCGGAACCUGCCUCGACUAUCCGGUGGACCAGGAGCUCGCACGCUUCCUCCUCGAUCUCCCGCGUGAGCCCGUGCUGCUCCUUCUCCCCUGCCCACGCGCCCGUGCGGCUGCUUCUCACCUGCCGCCGGUGGAGCUCGUCUGCCUGUACUGCUGCUGCUCGUCUGCCCAUACCGCUGCUGCUCGUUUGCCCGUACUGCUGCUGCUCGUCUGCCUGUGCUGCUGCUGCUCGUCUGCCCGUACUGCUGCUGCUCAUCUACCCGUACUGCUGCUGCUCCAUGUGAUGCCACCAGAGCCCUUGUUCAAGUUGAAUGUGCUGAAAACAGGUUUAUUUCAUCAUCAAGCCAUAAGCUCAGGAAGACGAAGGUACUACUCCACGAUCAAUGAGUAUUAUGGUGUUGUUAUGAGCUGAACAAAUUCACUGUAUGGAGUUAACUGAAUACAAUCGCUGGAUAGUUAACUGAAUAUUGUUAAGUGAAAAAACAAUGUUAACUGAAUAUUGUGCUGCUGUUGUAUCCAUUUCUGCUGCUGCUGUUCCUCUCUUUAAUUCAGUCAAUGUACGUGGACAGUUAAUUCAGUGAAUGAUCUAGUGACUAUAUUCAGUUUAAUUCAGUCAAUAUACAUGUUUGGGUCAGUGACUAAAUUCAGGGAAUGAUCCAGUGACUAAAUUCAGUUUAAUUCAGUCAUUGUACAUGCUUGGUAACUUAAUGCCUUAAGUAAGACCUGCUAAACCUUUUAGUCUUACCGCCACACUCUGAAACAUUGCAUGAUACUACUACAUUUUAAUUUUUACUCGUGCCCAAACUUUUGCAAGUAAAGAUCAUGAUGAGCAGCAGUUUCGGCCAUGCCAAAAUUGUCAAUUUACUAUCAAAUCAGUGAAAAGCCAAGAUGUUAACAUGCUUUGUUACCGAAUUACAGAAAUUUAUUGGAGAAAGAGGAAGAGCAAGAACAAGAGCAUACCAACCCCUGAAGAGCAAGAUAAGACCAAGACGACGCCAAUCCCAAGGUCUUCUCCUUGUAUUGCACCCCAUUCAUUCAAGCAGAAAGGAAAAAAUAAGGUUUGAAGAAGAAUGAGUCCCAUAUCCAUUAAUUUUAUUCACACAUGAUGAGUUCAGGUCAUAAAACUCCAUGAUGUUACAUGAAUUUACAGCAAAGAUCUUGCCACUGCCCUUGUUGGGCUUCAUAUAUGAUCUUGCCACUGCCCAAAAUGGGGGCAGCAGGCCAAGAUUUUGAAGUUACAAUAGUAGCAGUAGUAUGACAGUAGUAGUCACUUCAGCUCCCCUUGUUAAUUAAUCUUCUUCUCCUUCUUUUUUCAUUGAUUGCAGGAGUAUGGAUUUGAACAUGGUACCUCAAGCGGAAGAGAUGAAGGUAUAGAUUUGAACAUGUUGCCUCAAGAGGAAGAGGACCCUAACUGUCAGGUUAUUCUACUAGUUGUGCUUGACUGUUUAUGCAACAUAACAUUCUGAUGUUAGAGAUGCAAGUGUCAACUUCUCUCUACUUCUCGGCACAGGAUCAAAGUGUCCAUUCUUUGCACCUUGCCAAAUGCCAGUCAAGAUGCCCGGCAUUUAUCCAUAUCCAUUCUAAUCUUCACCUUUAUGGACAUCAGUUUUACUUGUAGCUUAACUGCCGCUAUUAGGGGAAAAGCAAUCAUUAUAUUUUAGGGGAAAGCAAUCUUUAUAUUUUUUUCAAGAAAGAGCACUUCAGUCAAACCCUAUAUUAGCUGAUACAACUGCAAUGAACAAAUGCUCGACCUCUGCAUAACAAGAUGAACACAGCCAACACGUCCAGGAAAAAGUAAAAAUCAUCGUUUUACAGAAAAAGUUCAUAAAGAGUUGCCUAACUAGGAUGUAUGGCAUACUCCAGUUACAAUCAUUACAGAAUGGUUGCAGCUAUUAGGGAAAACUAGGGAUGAUCAUUACAGAAUGGUUGCAGCUAUUACAAUCGCAAACUUUCACCGAAUGCCAUGCAUUUCCUUGUCUGGUUGCAAUCUGUUGGUGCCAGUGUAUAUUACAACAAUUUUCAGAAUUCAGGAUGUUUGAUGUAAAACCUGAAUUCUUGGUGCCAGUGUAUAUUACAACAAGGUUUUACAAAAUCUAUAAAUUGAUGACACUAAAUCUGAACACCUAUAAAUCUAUUGAACCACGAACAAGACGUCGCCGUCGCCGUCGAGCUCACAAGGGGGAACCUUUAGCUUGCUUGUGCCGUUUGGCUCAUCGGCUCCCCUAUCAUCUCUAGUUGGCGCAGCAACAGCAUCUCCAAACCUGCUAGCGAGUGCAGGAACAACAC
rnacentral:lncRNA from 1 species